rnacentral:lncRNA from 1 species
GAAAGAGAUAUCUCCUGAGGUGACUGUUCAUGUAUAAACUUUUUAUGAUUUCAGACUUAGCAAAUUUUAACUACUUACUUCUGCAUUAUACACAAACUAAUGUGAUACAGCAAAAUGUAAUACAAACUGUAAAUGUAUCCGUAAUAAAACAGAGAAUUACAGAUAGAUAAUAAUCUAUCUUUCCUAUAGUGAUUGCACUAAAAAUUUCAGAAUUUUAAGCUUUAAGGGGAGGGUUUUGUCUUUAUACACUCUCGGAUUUAUACAUGUUAGGCACUUCACUGCUAAGCUACAAUUCCAGACCUGUCUUAAUAACUUUUUAAAAAUUGCUAUAAAGAAAAAAGUUUUUAAAGGGGCCAAAAAUGUAAGAAGCCAACAUAAAGAAGGAAAUGGUAAUUUUCCCCUUCAUCUUCAGAAAAGCCCACUUAUAUGCUGGUAAUUAGCUCCAGGAGGGACAGCUGCAGUUGUAAUGAUCCCCCUGCAGCUGUGAUGCCCCUCCCUCAGCUGUGAUGCUGCCCCUGCAGCUGUGGUCCUCCCCCACAGAUGCGGUCCUCUCCCUGAAGUUCUCCCAAGGUGACUCUGGUUAUCUCAGUGCAACAGCAAGGAGAAGUAAGUGGCACAGUUAUUGUGGCCGUGGGUGCUGUGUGGCUUCCUGAAAGGAGCAGAGGUGUGAAUGAACUACAGCUGACUGUCCAGGGGCAAUGAAGCAAUGAACAAAUCAUGAAAACUCAGACCCAUGGCCACAUGAUGCUCAACUGAGUGUAAAGUCAGAAAUGUAAAGAGACUGCAAUCAUAGUGUUGCAAUUUUCAUAUUCAGUGUUGUGGGUGUAAAGCAAGCAGCGUUCAGAAGGUGUGGAAAAACUCCCCUCAGGUCUUUUGGAAGCUGCUCUCAGCUGUUCUCCUAGCUUACCUCUAUUUCUCUCUGCCACCCACCAACCUAAGAAGCACUCCCUAGGCAACCCACAGCCACACUUUCCUAUGAUCCAGAGAGGGUAACAGACGCCAAGGGAUGAAACUCUCACUCAACAAAGACCAGACCAGACCAGAAAUCAGCAUCUACAGGCACCUCAAUCACGUUAAGCCCCAAUGCCUACACACCAGUGCAAAAACCACAAUGAUUACUACUCUAGGCAAUAUGCCUCCACCUGAACCCAGGAACCCUACCCUACUAUAGUAAGCCAUAAGAAAGGCAACAUAGCUACGAGAUAAGGAUUUCAAAAUAGCAAUUACGAAUACAGUUAAGGACCCUAAAACUGAUAAGAACGAGUCCUUAAUGAGGCCUCUGAAAACACAAAUGAACAGUGGAAGGAAAUAAUGAGAAUGGUUCAAGGCCUGGAGGUGAAACAGAAUCAUAAAGACAACCCAACUGAGGUAAAACUAGAAAUGAAAAAAAUGUAGGAAGUCAGACAAAAAUAUCAGAGAAAGCCUUUCCAACAGAGCACAAGACAUGGAUGAGAAAAUCUUGGGUGUUGAAGACAAGGUAGAAGAAAUGGAUAAUUCAGUUAAAAAAAAAAAGUGUUAAAUCUAAAAACAUUCAGGCACAAAACAUCCAGGAAAUCUGGGACACUAUGAAAAGAUUAAAUCUACGAAUAACAGAAAGGAGAAUAAACCCAGGCCAAAGGCACAGAAACUGUUUUCAAUAAAAUCAUAAAAGGAAAGCUUCCCAACCUAAAGGAGGUACUUAUCAAAGUACAAGAAGCAUACAGAGCAACCAAUACACCAGAAACGAAAAUCUCCACAAUAGUCAAAACACUAAACAUACGCAACAAGAUGAGAACAUUAAAAGUAUUCUCAGUGGAGACUCUGAAAGCCAGAAUGGCCUAAAAGAUGUUCUACAAAUUCUAGGAGAUGAGAGAUGCCAAUCCAGACUAAACUUUCUAUCUAUAUAUCUACAGAACUCUAUACCCAGCAAAACUGUCAAUCACAACAGAUGGAGAAAGAAAAAUAUUCCACAACAAAACCAAAUUCAAGCAGAAUCUACCUAUGAAUCCAGCUCUACAGAAGGUACUUCAGCCUGAAAAGGCUGACCACAUCCAAGAAACACAAGGAAUAAAUAAUACCAGAACACUGAGUCACAAGGGAGGAUGGGAUUCAAACUUUAACAACAGAAGAACUACCAAUAAAAACUGCUUGUUGUUCAUUCUCAAGAAGAGUUUCAAAUCCCCCAAUAAAAAGACACAGACUAACAUACUGGAUUAGAAAACAGGAUCCAUCUUUGUACUGCACCCAAGAAACACACCUUACUAUCAGUAUAGACAUCACCUCAAGGUAAAAGGAUGGAAAAAGAUAUUCCAAGCAAAUAGAUCCCAAAAGGAAGAGAUUGUAGCCAUUUUAAUAUCUGACAAAAUAGACUUCAAACCAAAACAAAUCAGAAGAGUCAUGGAAGGACACUAAAUACUCAUCAAAGGAAAAAUCCACCCAGAGGACACUGCAACUCUACAUAUCCAUGCACCAAGCACAAGUGCACCCAAGUUCAUAAAAGAAAUGCUAAAACAGCUAAAAUCACAUACUGAACCUCACACAUUGGUGGUGGGAGACCUCAGUACCCAACUCUCGCCAAUAGAUAGGUCAUCCAGACAAAAACUAAACAGAGAAAUACUGGAGUUGACAAUGUUACAAACCAGUAAUAUAACAGAUACUUACAGAACAAUUCAUUAAACAUAAAUGCAUAUACCUUCUCUGUACCUCAUGAGACUUUCUCCAAAGUUGACCACAUGCUGAGAUGCAAAGCAAAUCUCAACAGAUACAAGAAAACUGAAAUAAGCCCCCUGCAUCCUAUCUGACCACCAUGGAUUAAAGCUGGAUAUCAUCAACAACAGAAACAAUAGAAAGUUUACAAACUCAUGGAAACAGAACAACUUCCUACUGAGUGAAAAAUGAAACAAGUUAGAAAUCAAGAAGGAAAUUAAAAACUUUUCAGAAUUGAAUGAAACUGAACACACAACAUACACACACCUGUGAGACACAAUGAAGAUGGUUAUGAGGUAAGCUUGUGGCACUAAGUGCCUACGUGAAAAAUUUGGAGAGAUUUUUCUCAUAUUUGUAACUUAGCAACAACCUGAAAACUCUAGCAUAACAAAAAGAAAUAACACCCCACAAAAAGUGGACAGCAAGAAACAAAUUCAGGGCUGAAAUCAAUGAGAUAGAAACAAACAAAAAUACAAAGUUUCAAUGAAACUAUGAUUUGAAAAAAAAAAAAACAUUAAGAGGGCUGGAGAGAUGGCUCAGCAGUUAAGAGCACUGACUGCUCUUCCAGAGGUCCUGAGUUCAAUUCCCAGUAACCACAUGGUGGCUCACAACCAUUUGUAAUGAGAUCUGAUGCCUUCUUCUGGUGUGUCUGAAGACAGCUACAGUAUACUUACAUAUAAUAAAUAAAUAAAUCUUUAAAAAAUCAUUAAGAUUGAUAAACCCCUAGCCAACAAGAUGGCUGCAUGUAGAAGAAUCCAAAUAGAUCCAUACUUAUCAUCCUGCACAAAACUCAACUCCAAAUGGAUCAAGGACCCCCAACAAAAGGCCAGAUACACUGAAUCCGAUUAAAGAAAGUGGGAAUAGUCUUGAACUCAUUAGCACAGGAAAACAGCAAUUAACAUGGGACCUCAUGAAACUGAGAUGCUUCUGUAUGGUAACAGACACCAACAUUGGGACAAAGGGGCAGCCCACAGAAUAGAAAAGAUUUUUAUCAACUACUACCCAUCUUGUAGAUGGCUGAUAUCAAAAGCAUAUAAAGAACUGAAACAACUGGAUAUCAAGAAAACAACCCAAUUAAAAAUGGGGUACAUGGGGGCUGGCGAGAUGGCUCAGUGGUUAAGAGUGCCGACUGCUCUUCCGAAGGUCCCGAGUUCAAAUCCCAGCAACCACAUGGUGGCUCACAACCAUCCGUAAUGAAAUCUGAUGCCCUCUUCUGGAGUGUCU